AUGAUCAGCUUCACAAGUAAAGAUUGGGAUCAACACCUUCACUUUCGUGUCUGUGUUGUUUCUCCACCCCUCUUUCGCUGACUCCUCACCAUACGUUCGUCUCCUGAGACGCCCUGUUGGAACUGGUCUCUGACAUCUGGUGCCCCCCGAACAGGGACGAUCAGUAAUCCAUAAGUCUGAUGCAUUCAUUUCAUUCAGAAGUUUUCUGGUGAGUAUAGGAUUCUUACCUAGGGUACUGCAGACCCCUUAGCAAGGUGCUAAGUAAGUGAAGGGUAAGUAAUCAGAGAACUUAUUUUGAGAAGUCAUGGGCCAUAAAGAGUCUAAAGAAAGAGGACUCUUUAUUAAUAUAGCUAAGCAUAUAUGCCAUAAACGGGCAUUUCAGUUUCUUCUAAGCAGUUAAGACAUUUUUUUCAUUUUAUUCAAGAAUGCUCUCCUUGGUUCCCUGAGGAAGGAACCUUAAAUUUAGAAACAUGGAAUAAACUAGGUAAAGAGAUGAAGGUUUAUUAUGAUCAUCAUGGGCCAGAAAAGAUUCUUGUAGAUGCUUUUGCAUUAUGGAAUGUUUUUAAAGAUGCUUUGGAUCCGACCCAUGAGACAGUUUGUUUGGCUCGUCAAGUGACUGAAUCUGAACAAACCCCCUUAAUUGGGGCUGCUGCUACAUCUAAAUUUUAUAAAAUUACAUCCCCUCCAAAACAGUCUCAAUCUUAUGAUGAACAAGGGGAUGAAGAGGAGGAUGAAGAACUUUCUCCUCAAGAUCAGGAGGACUUAGAGGAGGCUGCAUCUCGAUAUGAUAACUCUGAUUGGCCACCAAAUUUGUUAGUCUCUAUGUCUCCUGUGCCUCCCACACAGCCCUCUGCUCCUCCUGAUUAUUCUCAACAAUGUAAGACACCUAAAAAACAACCUAAAAAUCUUCCCUUUCUGGGAGCCAUAACUGAAGCAAAAAAUCAGGGUGAUUAUUCUUUAUGCUUUCCUGUUAUCCCUCAAGGGGAAUUUGAUGACUCACCUCAAUGGAAACCUCUUCCCUUUAAAUUAAUAAAAUAAUUAAAAACCUCUGUUACUAAUUUUGUUCCAACUUCCCCUUAUACUUUACAAUUGGUAGACUCAGUUGCUGCUGAAUGGCUUACGCCUUUUGACUGGCAGCAGACAGCCAAAUCCUGUCUGCCUCCUGGACAAUAUUUACUCUGGAAAUCUGAAUUUGAAGAUCAAGCAAAACAAUUAAUAGGAAGAGGUAUUAUUAAAAGAGGACAAAAAUAUACUCUAGGUAUGUUACUGGGUACUGGAGAUUAUGCUUCUCCUCAGAGCCAACUUUCCCUUAACAAAGAAACCUUAACUGAAAUCUCAAAGUGUGCUGUUACUGCAUGGCGAAGCUUACACAGUUCUGAAACAAAACAAAGUUUUCUUUCUAACAUUAAAUAACAGGCUACAGAGUUAUAUGAAGAUUUUGUGGCUUGCCUACAGGAAACUGUUUCUAAGGUUAUUGCUAAUACUGAAGCCGCUAAUAUACUUAUAAAGCAGUUGCCCUUUGAAAAUGCUAAUCCCACUUGUCAAGCUUUACUUUGACCCAUUAGAAAAACUGGGUCUUUAUCUGAUUUUAUUCGUAUGUGCAUGGAUUCUACUCCAGCCCAUAUUCAGGGGAUUGCUAUUGCUGCUGCAUUACAAGGCAAGACUUACUCACAGUUUUUAAAGGGUUAUGGUACUAAAAAUAACAAUAAAAUUUUUCCUUCAAAAAAUAAUACCCUUAAUAUUAAAGGUCAAUGUUUUUCUUGUGGACAAACAGGACAUUUUAGUCGUGAUUGCCCAAAUAAGCUAUCUAAUAAAAAUCCUUUUAUACAAAAUAAUCCUCCAAAAAUUCCCUGCCCCGGGUGUCAUAAAGGCUUUCACUGGGCCAGAGAUUGUAGAUCAAAAUUUGACAAGGAUGGAAACCCUAUAGUCCCUACUUCUCAGAAUCCAAUGGAAUAAAAAAAUGGGCAAUGGGGCUCCCCCCGGGCCCCACAAAACAACAGGGGCUUUCCCGGACAAAUACCUUCUUUCGUGGGCUCUCAAUUAGCAACUUGGCCCGAGCAACUCCAGGAAGUGCAGGAUGAGACUUGCCCUCUUCAGUUCAUGCUAUACUUACUCCAGAUUCUGAAGUUACUUUGAUUCCAACUGGGGUCUAUGGACCUCUUCCCCAAGGCUAUUUUGGUGUAAUAUUAGGGAGAAGUUCUCUAUCUUCCAAAGGCAUUUUUAUCUUGCCAGGUAUUAUUGAUUCAGAUUUCCAGGGAUAAAUUAAAGUUAUGAUUCAACCUCCAGUUAAAACUGUUCAAAUUAGACUUCAACAAAGAAUUGCACAAAUUUUAAUUAUUCCUUAUUUAAACAAUCCUAAUAGUGUACUUAAAAGUAAUAGAGGAGAUCAAGGUUUUGGUUCUAGUAAUGUUGUUGCAUUGAUACAAAAGAUUAAACAAUCUAGACCUAUGAAAUAUAUUUCUGUGGAAGGUUUACAAAUAAAGGGUAUUUUGGAUAUGGGAGCUGAUGUUUCUUGUAUAGCUGGAAAAGACUGGCCUUCUUCUUGGCCCACUAGUAAGUCUCCUUCUACUCUUAUAGGAUUGGGACUUGCCUCCAAUGUUGCCAAAAGUACACAAAUAUUACAUUGGCAAUGUGAAGAAAAACCUGGGACUUUUCAGCCUUAUGUCAUCCCCUCUUUGCCUUUUACUUUAUGGGGAUGAGACAUUUUACAACAAUUUAAUGUUGUUCUGACAAAUGAUAUACCUCAGAUUUUAAAACAGCCUUUUACUUAGGGGCCACUGUCCUUAAAGAGGCUGAUCCUAUUGUUUGGAAUUCCAACAACCCUGUUUGGGUGGAUCAGUGGCCCUUAACUCAGGAAAAACUGGAUGCUGCCUCUCAUCUAGUUAAAGAGCAAUUAGAGUUGGGACAUAUAGAACCAUCUACUAGUCCUUGGAAUACUCCUAUUUUUGUUAUUAAAAAUCUGGCAAAUGGAGACUCCUACAGGAUUUAAGAGCUAUUAACAAAACUAUGGAAACCAUGGGAGCUCUACAAUCGGGCCUCCCUUCUCCUGUGGCUAUACCAAAAGGAAAAUAUCUUGUAGUUAUAGAUCUACAGGACUGUUUUUUUAACAUUCCUCUUGAAAAACAGGAUUGUAAAAGUUUUGCUUUUAGUUUACCAUCUUCUAAUUUACAAAGACCUUUCCAAAGAUUUCAAUGGAAAGUUUUGCCUCAGGGAAUGAAAAAUAGCCCCACCUUAUGUCAAAAGUUUGUUGAUGCAGCCUUAGUCUCCACAAGAAAUAAGUUUCCAUCUGGAUAUAUAGUUCAUUAUAUGGAUGACAUUUUAUUAGCUCAUGCUGAUUAUUUGAUACUCCAACAAGUACUUAAUUUUAUGAUUACAAGUUUACAAGACUGGGGAUUAAAAAUUGCUCCUGAUAAAAUUCAAACUCAGGCUCCUUUUUCUUACCUAGGAAGAUUAAUUAAUUCCAAAAAUAAAACUUCUCAAAAAAUACAGAUUAGGGUUGAUUUUUUUAUGUACUUUAAAUGAUUUUCAAAAACUUCUUGGGGAUAUUAAUUGGAUUAGGCCUUACUUAAAAUUAACCACUGCUGACCUUAAACCUUUAUUUGAAAUUUUACAGGGAGAUUCAAAUCCAAAUUCACCUAGACAAUUAUCUCCUGAGGGAAAAAAAGCUUUAUCUAAGGUGGAGAAGGCUAUUUCAGAUCAUUAUUUACAACAAAUAGACUAUAAUAAGCCCUGGAUGUUAAUAAUCUUACAGAUUUCACACACUCCUACUGGAUGCCUAUGGCAGGAUGAUCCUUUAGAAUGGAUUUAUUUGCCUUCUACUCCAAAAAAGAUUAAUAUUUCAUAUCCAACCCAGGUGUCAUCAUUAAUUUGUAAAGGUAGACUUCGAAGUAGAGAGCUCUUUGGACGAGAUCCAUCCUCCAUUAUUAUUCCAUAUAAAAAGGAACAAUUAGAUUUCUUAUUAAAUGUUAAUGAUGAAUUCCCUAUAGCAUUACAGGGGUUCUAUGGAGAAAUAUUGUUUCAUUUGCCUAACCACCCAUUACUACAUUUUAUGACUAAAGUAAAUACUAUUUUAACUAAAAAAUUUCUCAUGUGCCCCUGGAUCAAGCUUCUCUAAUUUUUACAGAUGGAUCCUCUACUGGAAUAGCUGUUACUAUUAUAGAAGACCAAGAGCCAACAGUCCAACAAACAACUGGAACCUCGGCUCAAAGGACAGAAUUGAUUGCUAUUAUAACUGCUUUUGAAAAGAUUACACAGCCUUUUAAUCUUUAUACUGAUUCCCAAUAUAUAGUUAAUCUCUUUCCAGCCAUAGAAACAUAUUCUUGGUCCUCUCAUUCAUCAAUUGUUAAUAUAUUACAAAAGUUACAAAAAUUAAUAUUACAGAGAUCUUAUAAAUUUUUUAUUGGACAUAUUAGAGGACAUUCUAACUUACCCGGACCUUUAGUGGCAGGAAAUGCUAAAGCUGAUUUAUUAACUAGGACUGUUUAUAAUGUUAUUGAACAAGCUAGUAAAAAUCGUCAAUUACAUCAUCAAAAUUCUGCUGCUCUUAGAGCACAGUUUCAUAUAACUAAAGAACAAACUAGACAAAUUGUUAAACAAUGUCAAAUCUGUCCUACUCACUUUCCUUCUCCACAGAUGGGUGUCAACCCUAGGGGUUUAUUACCCAACAAAUUGUGGCAGAUGGAUGUUACUCAUAUUCAAGAGUUUGGAAAGUUAUCUUUUGUUCAUUUUUGUGUGGAUACUUUCUCACAUGUUAUUUUUGCUACAGCCCAUAUUGGAGAAGCUUAUAAGGAUAUUGCCCAACACCUUUUUGCCUCCUUUGCAUAUAUGGGAUUACCUCUUCAUAUUAAGACAGACAAUGCUCCUGCUUAUAUUUCAAAAACCUUUAAACAUUUGUGUCAAGCACUUAACAUAGUUCAUUCCACAGGCAUCUCCUAUAACCCAUCUCCUAUAACAAGCCAUAGUGGAAAGAGCUCAUCAGACCUUAAAAUCUCAAAUUAAUAAAUUAAAAGAGGGGGAACUACAUUAUAGCUCUCCUCAUCAAAUUCUUCAACAUGCUCUAUUUGUCAUUAAUCAUUUAAAUGUAAAUGAUUCUAAAUUAACUCCAAUGCAACGUCAUUGGUCUGAGCAAACAGUAACUCAAAAAAAUUUAGUUAAAUGGAAAGAUCUUCUUAUUGGACAGUGGAAAGGACCUGCUAUUCUCUUAACAUCGGGUCGAGGAUAUGCUUGUGUGUUUCCACAGGAUGCUACUUCACCUUUGUGGAUUCCAGAUCGACUCAUCAGACAUUAUGACUCACCCAUAUCACAGGCGGAGGUUCCUCCCCAAGCCAUACCCAAGGAUGCCAUCGACCCAGGAUGAAGAACUUGCCGAGGACAUGACUAAUCUUCACCUUCAUUCCCCUCGACAGGCACAAGUAACAUUGGCAUCAAAAUUACCUUCUUGGGGUCAAAUAAAACAUCUGACCAGUCAGGCACAAAACUUGGUUGUUAGCCAAGGUGCCUCUGCCUCUCCUGAAAAAGUGUUUCUUGCUAUGCUCAGUCAGGUAUCACUGAUUUCUGAUAAUCAAUCUUAUUGGGCUUAUUUUCCUGAUCCUCCUCUUUUAAGAGUUACUGAUUGGGGAAAACUUAAUAUUAAGGUGUUUACUGAUAAUCCUGAAUUGUUAGGAGGGAUUUCUGAUUCCCUUAUUCCUCAUAAGAUGUCAUAUAAGAUUAAUUUCAAGGGUUUAAUAGAAGAGACUCCUAUUUGCUUUGCUACUGAUAAUAAAUUCAUCCCUCAAGGAUGUAUGCCUAUUAAUUAUAGACAAUAUUUUACUGAUUGCCCUCCUGGCUUCCCAGACAUGGAUAAUAAAAAGAGGAGCCUUUGGCUCCUUGAAAUGGUUUCUUUAGGAUACUAUAUAGUUAAUGAAACCUAUGUUAAUAAGACAUUACCUGAAGCCAUUGAUCCAUGUGGAUUAAAGAAUAACAAAAAUGAUUUUUAUUGGAAUAAUAUGAUUGAUCCUAGGGAAGAAUUUCCUUAUUGGUUUCAAUGUGGAUUUAUGCAAAGGGCACAAGUCUUUCAGCCUAAGUUUUCAGAUGUUAAGAUCUAUGAUUGGUCUGCUUCUGCCCCUCAUUUUGAUUAUAAAAAUUAAUUUAAGACUAAGUCUCAAAAAUUUAAUCAUACUGAAGGAAUGUAUACAAGUUCUCCUAUUCAUAGAUGGUACUCACCUGGUUGGGUCACUCCCAUAUUUCAGAGUGAGCUCCCUAAUGGAAAGGUUUCAUACUUCCCAGAUCUCUUUAGAUUAAUUGCAGCUACUAAUAUGGUUCUUUUAAUCAGACCUGGUAAAACUCCAGGACCUUUCAAUAUUCAUGCUUGCAUUAAUGCUACUCAUGCUAUUUUAGUAGGUAAUAAUAAUACCUUGACAAUUAAUCAUAAUAAUAGUGUUUAUUCUAUUUCCUGUGAUCAGUGUAUGUUAACUAAUUGUAUACAUGCUAAUCUUCCAAAAAACGACACUACUUUUAUAAUUAUACAUCAGCCUUCCUAUGUAAUGAUUCCUGUCCUUCUUAAUGAUGAUUGGUAUGAUGAUGAAGGGUGGCAAAUUCUUAAAAAAAUAAUGAAUUAAUUAGACCUAAGCGAUUUGUUGCAGCAUUAAUUUUAGGAAUUACAGCAUUAAUAGGAGUUAUUACUUCUUUAGCUUUAUCUACUACAGCUUUAGUUAAAGAAAUUCAUACUGCUCAUCAUGUUAAUGAUUUAUAUCAUAAUGUUUCAUUAGCAUUAGGUAUUCAAGAAAAAAUAGAUAAGAAAUUGGAGGCCCAGAUUAAUGCCUUAGAGGAAGCUUUAUUAUAUGUAGGAAACCAGAUUCAAAAUAUAAAAACUCAAAUGACAACCAAAUGUCAUGCUAAUUUCAAAUGGAUCUGUGUUACUCCCUUAAAAUAUGAUCAAACUAAAUAUGGAUAGAAUCAAGUACAAACUCAUUGAUUAGGGAUCUGGAAUAAAACUGAAAUAGGCCCCAAUAUACAAGAUUUACAACAACAAGUAAAAUAUAUAAGUAAGCCUUAUUUAUCUACUGACUCUACAGCUGACUUUGCUGUACAUUUAUACAAAAAUGUACAAAAAACUAUUUCCAAUAGUACUUGGUGGUCAUAUAUGAUUAAUAUUGGUUUUGGCUUUUUAUUCAUUGUUCUUGUUUGUCUCAUUCUUCCAGUCCUCUUCAGACUUGUCUGGAAAUCUAUCAGAAGCAUCUCCGUCCAAAUCGAACAAAUCAAAUUAAAAAAUAAAAAAGGGGGAAAUGCUGCACCCCUCCCCUGACUCAGGCAAUGGCAAGGCCCUACUGAGGUGGAUGGCACAAGGUGUCCAUCCUCUGGAGGAGUGCAGUAUGUUUCUUGGAAUGGGCUGAUUUGUUUUUGCAUUCCUUUAAUAAGUAUAGUUGUAACUUCUCAUAUGACCACUAAGUAUGAAGGAAAAAACAUGACUUUCCCAAUUAAUGCAAUUACUUCUAAAGAAUAGAUCUGUUUGCUCUAAAUGCAAUGAUUCAGUUGUGGAGUGUAAAUUGUUAAUGUCUAAUGAAAAACUCCCUGUAUUCCUGUCAAGGAAGUUUUUGAGAAAUUAAAUUAAAAUCUAGAGAAGAAAAAUUAAUGUUAAGAAGACAGAUUGGUGCUUAGUACUGGGCAACUCGUUCUUGUUCCUCUGCACAAUUGUUUGUGCUCUUACACUUGUUUGAUUAAAAUUAAUAACAAGUCAACCACUUGCCAUAACCAUGGCACUGGUUUCAGUCAGUAAGUCAAGAAAGAAUAGUCAAGGUAUAGGCCAAUAGUUUGGGACAUCUCUAACUAUUAUUAAAGGUUAACUAAGCAGAAACAGCUCAAAGCAAAAAGUGAACUGAAAGUACAAAUGCUUGCUUAUGCAUAAGCCAAGAUACAUUAUUCUAUUCUAAUUGUAGCUACGUAAUAUUCUGUUUCUUUGAAUAAUAAUUCCUGUUUUGUAACCACAAAAUACUGUGAGCCUGCCAAAAUGAAAACUAUAUAUGAUCAGCUUCAUAAGUAAAGAUUGGGAUCAACACCUUCACUUUGGUGUCUGUG
rnacentral:lncRNA from 1 species